CCUGACCCACAACAUAGUCUCCUCCAUAAACUCACCAAACAUCAGGGUGUCCAGAUAUCUUCUGUUCCCUAUCAGCAAAAGCAGAUAAUUAAUUCAUAAGGUUUAAAAUUUCAAAAUUAUUCAAGUUUUCAAUGAAGUGUCUCUCCUUCCUACCUGUGGCCCCAGCAUCCAGCCAGUUCCCCACUGUCUACCAACCAGGCUUCCCUAUUUCCCAAGACACAACAACGCUGAAAUCCAGCCAAUUAAUAACCCUAUAAUGGCCUCUAAGUGUGCAAGUG